rnacentral:rRNA from 1 species
CGAACGGGUGAGUAACACGUGGGGCAACCCUGCCCAAAAGAGGGGGAUAACACUUGGAAACAGGUGCUAAUACCGCAUAACCAUAGUUACCGCAUGGUAGCUAUGUAAAAGGUGGCUAUGCUACCGCUUUUGGAUGGGCCCGCGGCGCAUUAGCUAGUUGGUGGGGUAAAGGCUUACCAAGGCAAUGAUGCGUAGCCGAACUGAGAGGUUGAUCGGCCACAUUGGGACUGAGACACGGCCCAAACUCCUACGGAAGGCAGCAG